rnacentral:lncRNA from 1 species
CAGAAGAACUUAAGUAGUGAAACUCACACUGAUCAGAUUGGUUCAUCCACAUCCAAUUUAGGGUCUGCUAGUACUUCCACCAGUGAUUCUUGGCAGCUUAAAUUGAGGAUUGAAUCUUCCAAGACUGGGUCAUGUAGUGGAACCUCUGGGGCCUUCAGUUUUGGGGUCAAGAAGAAUUCAUCAAGAGUGAGUUUUUCGAUUGGUUGUUAUUUGAGUUGUUCUUCUCUGUCCAAUUUAGGGUCUGCUAGUACUUCCACCAGUGAUUCUUGGCAGCUUAAAUUGAGGAUUGAAUCUUCCAAGACUGGGUCAUGUAGUGGAACCUCUGGGGCCUUCAGUUUUGGGGUCAAGAAGAAUUCAUCAAGAGUGAGUUUUUCGAUUGGUGAUAGUCAAAGAAGUAAUGGAGAGAAGAGACUUGAACUUAUGGAAGAGAGUCAAGAUCCUUUUGCAUUUGAUGAUGAGUUUG